GAUGAAGAACGCAGCAAAAUGCGAUAAGUAAUGUGAAUUGCAGAAUUCAGUGAAUCAUCGAAUCUUUGAACGCACAUUGCGCCUCCUGGUAUUCCGGGAGGCAUGCCUGUUCGAGCGUCAUCAAAAACCUCAACCCAUGAUUUAUUGUGAGUUGGUUCUGCAUUGGACUCCUUGUGGGUCCUUUGCGAAAUCCAAUGGCGAAGAGCCACGCAACCAAAGCGUAGUAUAACUAUUUCGUUAUGGAAGCGUGGGUGCCUCUGCCGUAACCCCCAAUUUCUUAGUUUUUGACCUCGGAUCAGGUAGGGAUACCCGCUGAACUUAAGCAUAUCAAUAAGCGGAGGA
rnacentral:misc_RNA from 1 species